GAUGAACGCUAGCGGCAGGCUUAAUACAUGCAAGUCGUGGGGCAGCAGGGGUAGCAAUACUCGCUGGCGACCGGCAAACGGGUGCGGAACACGUACGCAACCUUCCCAAAACUGGUGAAUAGCCCUCCGAAAGGAGGAUUAAUACACCGUAACAUAACGAAAUGGCAUCAUUUUAUUAUUAUAGCUCAGGCGGUUUUGGAUGGGCGUGCGCCUGAUUAGGUAGUUGGCGGGGUAACGGCCCACCAAGCCUGCGAUCAGUAACUGGUGUGAGAGCACGACCAGUCACACGGGCACUGAGACACGGGCCCGACUCCUACGGGAGGCAGCAGUAAGGAAUAUUGGUCAAUGGACGCAAGUCUGAACCAGCCAUGCCGCGUGAAGGAUGAAGGUCCUCUGGAUUGUAAACUUCUUUUAUCUGGGACGAAAAAGGCGAUUCUUCGUCACUUGACGGUACCAGAUGAAUAAGCACCGGCUAACUCCGUGCCAGCAG
rnacentral:rRNA from 1 species